rnacentral:lncRNA from 1 species
AUUGGAAUUGAAGAGAAAAAGAUGAUUAAGCAGAAAUAUCAUCAGAUCCUAUUAUAAUAAAUGCAUUUCAAUACAUAAAUGAUAAAUAAUUAGUAUGUGAUUGAUAUGGAUGCUUUUUCUACAUCCACUACCACCACCAAUGAUGUUGUUGUAUCACCUACUUCCAGAACACGGUAUAUCUCCAUUUCAUUUCUUAUUUAUUUAAUCUAUAUUUAAGCAUUAACUAAUCAACAACUCACAUUAUAAAAAGUGGUGGCAUUACCAUUAUUAUUAUUUAUGGUUGACUGAUUUAAGGAGAGGGAAAUAAAAAAUAUAAACAUUAAUUCCUUAUAUAUCAAUUAUCAACCAUCAUUAUUCCAACUUAUUUCCAGAUGUCCUGAUUUGGGUGGAAGUUGAACAUACCAAUUUGUGAAACGUGUUGAAGUUUAAAAAAUUAUAUGAAAUUUGGAUAAUAAAGUUCAAAUUAUAGUAACAACAUAUAUCACUAAUAUCACUAUUCUCGAGGAUAAACAUUAAACAAAUAAUCAAG